AAGACGGCAACAGGAAACUGAAAACAAAGGGAAAUUUAUGACAUCAUAACAAAGUUAGGCGAAUACUUAUAAAAUACUGCACCAGACAUUGCCGAGGCAGUCAAGACGGCAACAGGAAACUGAAAAACAAAGGGAAAUUUAUGACAUCAUAACAAAUAAUUGAAUGCUAACGAAGCGGUCUUAGUAAACAAGAUAGUGGACAGACUAAUCUAUUAUACACAUAUUUUAUAAUGUUUUAUAUAUAUCUAUAUAUAUACUUACAAUUCUAGGAUAAGUAAAAAUAAUCAUGAUAAGUGUUGGAAAUGUAGCGAAGAACCAGAAGAUACCCAACGCGCUUUAUAUAAUUGUUCCAAAUAAAGUACUCGGUGGUGAAGGAUUAGAAUUGUAGAACCUGCAAAUAAUAAAGAUGCUAAUUAACAAUAUAUAGAUUAGUUCUAGAAUUACAUUAUACAGAUGUGAAACAACGACAAAGCCACAUGUUAUUAGAUUAAAACAACACACAGUAUAUA